GCUUGGUGAGUUGUCCAAUAACGCACGAGAAUCUUGAACUGGUUUUAGAGGCUUUUGCAUAAUGAAAUCAGACGAGAGAAAAGAAGGUCGAGAGGAAAUCCCAUGAUCCUUCUCUACAACCGGAAAGCAUUUUACCAAAACCGACUGUCAGUCAUCUCGGACGCAGCAAGAACACUCAGAUGUUGUUUUGGACAGUGCCAUAUAUGUCCUUUAAUGAUCAGUUGUGUUCACGCUGAAAUUCAUUUUAACGAAAGAAGUUUCAGAAUUGAUUGUGAAGAAAAUUGAACGGGCUGCUGGUGAGCAAAACAAAGCGUAGCCCGCACUACUGUCGUCUUUUAGAGCGAGAGCUCUGCCACUAAAAAUUAUGAUUCUGAAGAAGUGGGCUCCUUUGGAUAAGGAACAAGUGAUGGGAGUGCGCGAAGGCGAAGCAAACGGAAAAAGCUUGUUUCAGCAAGUGAAGUACUGAGUUCCCCUUGUGAAAAGAAGCCAAAGGCAGCAUGGAAGGCAAGCAGGUUUUGCCGAAGGUGAUCAAAAGGUUGAUCCACAGGAAGAAGAUAAAAUGAAUUGAAGUACAUGUAGUGACAAUCAAACAUUGGAAACUUUAUUUAAGUAACUUUACCGGUAGCCAUAAUUUACAUUAUUAUUGUUACUGUUAAUCCGGGAUUCCGAUACCUGUUCAGUGCCUGUGCAUGAGGUUGUUGUAGAUUAAAGCCUUUAGAAACGAG